rnacentral:rRNA from 1 species
UGGGGAAUAUUGCACAAUGGGCGAAAGCCUGAUGCAGCAACGCCGCGUGAGUGAUGAAGGCCUUCGGGUUGUAAAGCUCUGUCUUUUGGGACGAUAAUGACGGUACCAAAGGAGGAAGCCACGGCUAACUACGUGCCAGCAGCCGCGGUAAUACGUAGGUGGCAAGCGUUGUCCGGAUUUACUGGGCGUAAAGGAUGCGUAGGCGGAUUUUUAAGUGAGAUGUGAAAUACCCGGGCUUAACUUGGGUGCUGCAUUUCAAACUGGGAAUCUAGAGUGCAGGAGAGGAGAAUGGAAUUCCUAGUGUAGCGGUGAAAUGCGUAGAGAUUAGGAAGAACACCAGUGGCGAAGGCGAUUCUCUGGACCGUAACUGACGCUGAGGCAUGAAAGCGUGGGUAGCAAACAGGAUUAGAUACCCUGGUAGUCCACGCCGUAAACGAUGAGUACUAGGUGUAGGAGGUAUCGACCCCUUCUGUGCCGCAGUUAACACAAUAAGUACUCCGCCUGGGAAGUACGAUCGCAAGAUUAAAACUCAAAGGAAUUGACGGGGUCAUAGCUGUUUUCCU